ensembl:lncRNA
UAGCAUUCAACGAGAUGACAGUCCUCCCAGGCAGCUCAGUCAGCCAUGGAGGGUGGUGGAGUGGAAAAAGAGGAUCACAAAAAUUGUUUGAGAUUUCGCUUCUGCAAGCAGCUGGCUGUGAAACACGUCGGUUUGCCUUCUUAACACAGAAGACAAGAGAGAAACUUCUGGAAGCGGUGGUGGACGCCAAAGUGUGGAAAUGAGAAAGCACUUCAGACAAUUCUGACCACUUGCUCUUACUACUUGCCUACCUUGUUGUGUUAAAAUGAAGAAAACAGUGAGAACACCUUUAUUUAGCAAAGGAGCCAAGUUUUUUGGUAUAACCAGAUGUACCAGAACUAAAAUAAAUUGGUCCAGAAUAGCAAGCUGCAUAAAAUAACAAAACCACUUGCUGCUGUUAAAGUUGGCUUAAUUAUAGCCAGUAGUUACUCAGUAUAAGAAGAAAUAGGCACGUUUAUAGCAAAGGAAUGAGUCCCAAAUCGAGAACGACUUGGUUAAGUGUUGCCUAUAAUAUCUGCUCACAAGUACUACUUCCCAUCGGCAGGAGAUGUCCUGUCUGUUACCAAAAACAGGUUAGGUGUUGACUUGGCAGAAAGUCAAUCCAACUGUGAUGACUGGAUGCAGAAUUAUGAAUGGAAAAGCCAAUGGUUCA